rnacentral:rRNA from 1 species
GCAUGCAAGUCGAACGAUAGUCCUUCGGGGCUAUAGUGGCGGACGGGUGAGUAACGCGUAGGAAUCUACCCCUGGAUGGGGAAUAACUCAGAGAAAUCUGGGCUAAUACCGCAUAAUCUCUACGGAGAAAAGGUCGUAACUGAUCGUCGAGGGAGGAGCCUGCGUCCUAUCAGCUUGUUGGUGAGGUAAAAGCUCACCAAGGCGAUGACGGGUAGGGGGUGUGAGAGCACGGCCCCCCACAAGGUCACUGAUACACGGGGCCUACACCUACGGGUGGCAGCAACUGGGAAUAUUGCGCAAUGGGCGAAAGCCUGACGCAGCGACGCCGCGUGCGGGAUGAAGACCUUCGGGUUGUAAACCGCUGUGGAGAGGGAAGAUAAUGACGGUACCUCUCUAGAAAGCACCUGCUAACUACGUGCCAGAAGCCUCGGUGAGACGUAGGGUGCAAGCAUUAUCCGGAUUUAUUGGGCGUAAAGAGUAUCGUAGGCGGUUUUGUAAGUGGUCGGUGAAAUCCUCUGGCUCAACCAGAGAACUGCCGAUCAUUACUGCGAAACUAGAGUGACUUCGGGAAGGCUGGAAUUCUCGGGUGUAGGGGUGAAAUCCGUUGAUAUCGAGAAGAACACCAAGGGCGAAGGCAGGCCUUUA